GUAAAAGUAAAUAAUUUUAUUUUAUUCUAAAUUAGAAAUUUUUUUAAAAUAAAUUUUAAUAAAAUUAAAACUGAAAAGGAAGUAUCUUUAUAUAAAAAGUAAUUUUAUGUACCUUUAGCAUAAGGGAUUUUCAAAUAUAAAUAAAAUUUUAUUUAUUUCGAACUUAACUGAUCUAUUUUUUAAUAAAGCUUAUGUUUCAUAAUAAGCUUUCAAAUAUUUAAUAGAAGUGAAAUUCUUACCAAAGUUAAAGAUACCUAAUUUUUUAUUAAAAAAUAAAAUUUUUCUUAUAAUAAUUCAAGUAUUUGAUAAAAUUAUAAGUGAAUAUAUAAGGGAUAAGCUUUGUAUAUAAUUAUAUAUAAUUAAUAUAUAUUCUUAAUAAGAAUUAGAAUUUUUCCUAUAUUGUUAUAAACAAUUGCAAUUAUUAAUUAAAAAAAUAAUCUUUUUUUUAAAUUUAAAAAUAAAAUUAAAUUUCAAUAAAAUGAGAAUAUUAGUAAAAGAAUCAAAUUAAUUAUUAAUUAGAAUAAAUAAUUUUAUGAUAAAAAUAAUUUCUAGUAAUUCGGCAAAAAAUUUUUUUGACUGUUUAAUAAAAACAAUGCAUUUAGAUUUUUUAAUUAAAUGUAAAUCCUGCUCAAUGAAUCAUUAAAUUGCUGUAGUAUUUUGACUAUACAAAGGUAUUGUAAUAAGACUUUAAUUGAGUGCUAAAAGAAUGGAGUUUCAAAAAAAGUCUAUCUUGAAUUCAAAAAUUGAAUUUAUUUUUAUUUGUGAAGAAACAAUAAUUAAAAUUAAGGACAAGAAGACCCUAAGAAUUUUUAAUUUUGUAUAUAUAAAUAUAUUUAUAUAUACAAAUUUUUAAUUGGGGCGAUUAAAAAAUAUAGUUAACUUUUAAUUUUAAAAAAUGAUCCAUUAUUAGUGAUUUAAUGUAAAAAAUACUCUAGGGAUAACAGCGUAAUAAUUUUAGAUAGAUCUUAUAGAAAAAAUAGUUUGCGACCUCGAUGUUGGAUUAGGAUUCUUUUUUAAUGAAGAAGUUAAAAUAAGAAGUUUGUUCAACUUUUAAAAUCCUACAUGAUCUGAGUUUAGACCGAUGUGAAUCAGGUUGGUUUCUAUCUUAAUUUAGAAAAAAAAAUUUUAAUUAGUACGAAAGGAAUUUUAAAAUAUAAAAUUUAUACAGAUACAACAGUUUUUGCAUCAAUUUUUGGAAUU
rnacentral:rRNA from 1 species